rnacentral:rRNA from 1 species
UGCAGUCGANCGGCAGCACAGGAGAGCUUGCUCUCUGGGUGGCGAGUGGCGGACGGGUGAGGAAUACAUCGGAAUCUACCUUUUCGUGGGGGAUAACGUAGGGAAACUUACGCUAAUACCGCAUACGACCUACGGGUGAAAGUGGGGGACCGCAAGGCCUCACGCGAUUAGAUGAGCCGAUGUCCGAUUAGCUAGUUGGCGGGGUAAUGGCCCACCAAGGCGACGAUCGGUAGCUGGUCUGAGAGGAUGAUCAGCCACACUGGAACUGAGACACGGUCCAGACUCCUACGGGAGGCAGCAGUGGGGAAUAUUGGACAAUGGGCGCAAGCCUGAUCCAGCCAUACCGCGUGGGUGAAGAAGGCCUUCGGGUUGUAAAGCCCUUUUGUUGGGAAAGAAAUCCUGUCGAUUAAUACUCGGUGGGGAUGACGGUACCCAAAGAAUAAGCACCGGCUAACUUCGUGCCAGCAGCCGCGGUAAUACGAAGGGUGCAAGCGUUACUCGGAAUUACUGGGCGUAAAGCGUGCGUAGGUGGUGGUUUAAGUCUGCUGUGAAAGCCCUGGGCUCAACCUGGGAAUUGCAGUGGAUACUGGAUCACUAGAGUGUGGUAGAGGGAUGCGGAAUUUCUGGUGUANCAGUGAAAUGCGUANAGAUCAGAANGAACAUCCGUGGCGAAGGCGGCAUCCUGGGCCAACACUGACACUGAGGCACGAAAGCGUGGGGANCNAACAGGAUUANAUACCCUGGUANUCCACGCCCUAAACNAUGCGAACUGGAUGUUGGGUGCAACUUNGCACCCAGUAUCNAAGCUAACGCGUUA